UACGGAGGAUCCAAGCGUUAUCCGGAUUUAUUGGGUUUAAAGGGUGCGUAGGUGGCUUUUUAAGUCAGGGGUGAAAGACGGUAGCUUAACUAUCGCAGUGCCUUUGAUACUGAAGAGCUUGAAUGAACUAGAGGUAGGCGGAAUGUGACAAGUAGCGGUGAAAUGCAUAGAUAUGUCACAGAACACCAAUUGCGAAGGCAGCUUACUAUGGUUUUAUUGACACUGAGGCACGAAAGCGUGGGGAUCAAACAGG
rnacentral:rRNA from 1 species